GAUGAACGCUGGCGGCGUGCCUAAUACAUGCAAGUCGAGCGAACAGACGAGGAGCUUGCUCCUCUGACGUUAGCGGCGGACGGGUGAGUAACACGUGGAUAACCUACCUAUAAGACUGGGAUAACUUCGGGAAACCGGAGCUAAUACCGGAUAACAUGUUGAACCGCAUGGUUCAACAGUGAAAGACGGUCUUGCUGUCACUUAUAGAUGGAUCCGCGCCGCAUUAGCUAGUUGGUAAGGUAACGGCUUACCAAGGCAACGAUGCGUAGCCGACCUGAGAGGGUGAUCGGCCACACUGGAACUGAGACACGGUCCAGACUCCUACGGGAGGCAGCAGUAGGGAAUCUUCCGCAAUGGGCGAAAGCCUGACGGAGCAACGCCGCGGGAGUGAAGAAGGUCUUCGGAUCGUAAAACUCUGUUAUUAGGGAAGAACAAAUGUGUAAGUAACUAUGCACGUCUUGACGGUACCUAAUCAGAAAGCCACGGCUAACUACGU
rnacentral:rRNA from 1 species